AUGUUUCAAACAACUCUCUCUUAUGUGCCACAUGUAAUAACUCCACUUUAAAUGAACUCUCUAAACAAGUUGUUAUGGCACUCUCUAGCGGGCAAUAUCCCGAUUAUCUAGUUUCUAUCCUGUUUCUUUUGAUCUUCUGGAUCUUAUCCUGUGUUUUCGCCUUUGUGGUGUCGUAUUGAAUCUUUGUCUUUCUUUCUUUCUUUGUUGUGCCUAUUGUGUUUCCCAUCUAUUUGCAUUUUCUUCCCCUUCUUUCUCUGCAUUAAUUGUUUUCCUUUUGUUUUGACUUUUCUUAUGCAUUGCUUACUCAUUUAUUACUCCUUCUCUUCACUCUGUCUCAUUUAUUGCUUUAGAUUUUAUUGAGUAUCGUAGAUUUUGUCUCAGCUUUUCUUUGCCUUUCUCUUCCCUCUCUUGCUCGUUUCCUGUUCUACCAAUUAUGGCUACCAUCGUUUUGAAUCGAUCUAAGAGGGAGGCGAUUAUUAUUUCUACCAGCUAUAGGGUCUGAAUAGGGUUAUCAAAAGGACGGAUAAAGCAUCUUAACUCCAACUUCUACAACAUGUCUUUCAUCUCCAGUUUAGAGAAAAGAAAACAUAUGAUGUAAAAAUUGAAGUGGAUAGAACAAUUGCUGGCGGCCGGUGAUUCACAAAGGCUUGGACGAUUAAUGUUAAAAUGUAUAAGAAUUUUUCUUUCCUAGCUUAUUUUUUCAUGUUAACUUAUAAUUUUUAUAUAUUUAGUUAGAUAUAUUAACUUGUUAAACACUUGGACUAAUUUUAAAAUAUUUGUGUAAGUUAAUUGUAAUUUUUUUAAUUGCUUCUAUGAAAUUAAUUUAAGUAUAUUGGCUA